GCCAGACUCCUACGGGAGGCAGCAGUGGGGAAUAUUGCACAAUGGGGGAAACCCUGAUGCAGCGACGCCGCGUGAGUGAUGAAGUAUUUCGGUAUGUAAAGCUCUCUCAGCAGGGAAGAUAAUGACGGUACCUGACUAAGAAGCUCCGGCUAAAUACGUGCCAGCAGCCGCGGUAAUACGUAUGGAGCAAGCGUUAUCCGGAUUUACUGGGUGUAAAGGGAGCGCAGACGGCAGGGCAAGUCUGAUGUGAAAGUCCGGGGCUCAACCCCGGGACUGCAUUGGAAACUGUGUGACUGGAGUGCAGGAGAGGUAAGCGGAAUUCCUGGUGUAGCGGUGAAAUGCGUAGAUAUCAGGAGGAACACCAGUGGCGAAGGCGGCGUACUGGACGGUAACUGACGUUGAGGCUCGAAAGCGUGGGGAGCAAACAGGAUUAGAUACCCCGGUAACA
rnacentral:rRNA from 1 species